CCCUGGUGGUCAGUGGUACAGUCAGUAUCUAUUCCCUGGUGGUCAGUGGUAUAGUCAGUAUCUAUUCCCUGGAGGUCAGUGGUACAGUCAGUAUCUAUUCCCUGGAGGUCAGUGGUAUAGUCAGUAUCUAUUCCCUGGAGGUCAGUGGUAUAGUCAGUAUCUAUUCCCUGGAGGUCAGUGGUACAGUCAGUAUCUAUUCCCUAGUGGUCAGUGGUAUAGUCAGUAUCUAUUCCCUGGAGGUCAGUGGUACAGUCAGUAUCUAUUCCCUAGUGGUCAGUGGUAUAGUCAGUAUCUAUUCCCUGGAGGUCAGUGGUACAGUCAGUAUCUAUUCCCUGGAGGUCAGUGGUACAGUCAGUAUCUAU